CGAGGUGGGCGGGACGGGUGAGUAAUGUCUAGGGAAACUGCCGAUGGAGGGGGAUAACUACUGGAAACGGUAGCUAAUACCGCAUAACGUCGCAAGACCAAAGAGGGGACCUUCGGGCCUCUUGCCAUCGGAUGUGCCCAGAUGGGAUUAGCUAGUAGGUGGGGUAACGGCUCACCUAGGCGACGAUCCCUAGCUGGUCUGAGAGGAUGACCAGCCACACUGGAACUGAGACACGGUCCAG
rnacentral:rRNA from 1 species